GAUGAAGAACGUAGCGAAAUGCGAUACGUAAUGUGAAUUGCAGAAUUCAGUGAAUCAUCGAGUCUUUGAACGCACAUUGCGCCCCCUGGUAUUCCGUGAGGCAUGCCCAUCUCAGCGUUAGAAAAUAUUCUCAAAUUUUAGUUUUGUGCUAAAAUUUGGAUCAUGUCAAAGAAGCUAUUACUAUUAUUGUGAUCGCUCUUUGGAAAUUGAUAGGUCUUUGAGUUGCUACUCAUAGAACGUGAUGAAUCUUUCUUCGUUCUAUUGUAAUUCACUCUGGUAGUCCUAAAACUUGUAUGCCUGUGGCAUAUCUUGUAAUUUGACCUGAGAUUGGGUAGGGAUACCCGCUGAACUUAAGCAUAUCAAUAAGCGGAGGA
rnacentral:misc_RNA from 1 species